GGAAGAGAUAAAGAGGAAUAGGAAAGAGGCCCAAUUUAAUAUCAAACUGUUACCUCUCUCAUAUACAAAGGGUAACCAUUGCCUUCAUGACGGAACCAACAAAGCACGUCCUCCAGGAACCCUGACCACAAGGGAAGCCGCAGGGCUUUUGCUUAAUAAGGAAGCUUUCUUGCUGCAAGGUACAGGCCCGGUUGGGUCACAUUUGGUUUUAUGCAACGAAACCCGAAGGGGAACUUCUGCUCGCUGGGUUGCUACAAGCAGAGCUGCAACCAUAUCCUGUAGCUCAAGAAGCAGGGGAAAACAUCUAGGGCUCGCAAUGUGGAGAGGGGGGCACGCAUGCAGUCGACAAGAGGCACAGUAAAACCAUCUCUGCGGACGGCAGUUCGGCAGGGGCUAGCAACAUUCCGUGUCCUCUAAACAGGAACAGAACAGCGCCAGAAGAGCAUCCUGCAAAAAGGAGUGUGGAGUGAAAACCUCCGGGCUUGACGACAGUCAAGGGUCAGGACAAGAAGUCAGGGAAGGAGACCAAGAAGUAUGGCAGCCGGAAAGCAAGGCAUCAAAGGAGUUUAGGGAGACUUCCCAGGGAGAGGGAAGGACUCAUCAAAUAAAUGGACAGUGCACAGAGCAUGAAGGUUUAGCAAGAAGAUCACCAGUGACCUUCAAGAGAACCUUCUGGAAAGUAGCUGACUGGAUGCUGAAUACGAGGAAAUGCAUGCAGGGGACGGAGGCAGUGGCUGUACCUCUCGUUUGGAAUGGUCAGAGAAGCCGCGUGCAGCAGCUACUGACGAGGCGAGCAGCUUCCGGACUGACUUCUGGGGAAAUCUGCAGUUCUUCUGAUGUGUUCUGGGGGCAAAGGAACUCCAGGAAGGUUCGAGUCCCUAUUUAAAACCAGUUCUAAUGACUGAACACUCAAAACGGCAGUAACGCAGCACGCAUCCUCAGAUGUGUUCCAGGCGCAAAUGUGUGCUGUGCAGACCCUCCGUGUGUGCGCGGGGGCUGUCGGGGCUGCUCCCGUGCACACAGACCUCGGGGUCAACAGUCCCUGUCACGUCUGUGUAACGGAAGAACAUCUGGGAUUGGAAGGAAGGCUGUCAAAACAAAACUGACGUUAGUCGCAAAUUCUAAGCGGGAUGAAGUCAAGAUUUCUGUGUUCUGUGCAACCAAAGCCAAACAUAGAAACACACCGGGCGCUGGGAUUGAAGUACACAAACUGUUGUUCACAACCUUAGGUGUAAAAUGCUUUCUGUCCGGGCGCCUGCGUGGCUCAGUCGGUUAAGCGUCUGCCUUCAGCUCAGGUCAUGAUCUCGGGGUCCUGGCAUCGAGUCUCGCAUGGGGCUCCCUGUGCAGCGGGGAGUCUGCUUCUCCCUCUGCCCCUCCCCCUGCUUGUGUGCUCGCGCGGACAAAUAAAUAAAAUCUUUAAAAAUAAAUAAAAAAGUAC
rnacentral:lncRNA from 1 species